rnacentral:rRNA from 1 species
UACGUAGGUGGCGAGCGUUGUCCGGAUUUAUUGGGUUUAAAGGGUGCGUAGGCGGUCCUAUAAGUCAGUGGUGAAAUAUCGCAGCUCAACUGUGAGGGUGCCAUUGAUACUGUAGGACUUGAGUGAAUUUGAGGUAGGCGGAAUUGACGGUGUAGCGGUGAAAUGCGUAGAUAUCUGGAGGAACACCGGUGGCGAAGGCGGCAUCCUGGACCGGUAUUGACGCUGAGGCGCGAAAGCUAGGGGAGCAAACGGG